rnacentral:rRNA from 1 species
CCUACGGGUGGCAGCAGUGGGGAAUCUUGCACAAUGGGGGAAACCCUGAUGCAGCGACGCCGCGUGCGUGAAGAAGUCUUUCGGUAUGUAAAGCUCUAUCAGCAGCGAAGAAUAUGACGGUAACUGAUUAAGAAGCAUCGGCUAACUACGUGCCAGCAGCCGCGGUAAUACGUAGGGGGCGAGCGUUAUCCGGAUUUACUGGGUGUAAAGGGUGCGUUGACGGCCGUACAAGUUUGAUGUGAAAUUCCGGGGCUUAACCCAGGGACUGCUUUGGAAAAUGUGCAGCUAGAGUGCCUGUGAGGUAAGUGGAAUUUCUAGUGUAGCGGUGAAAUGCGUAGAUAUUAGGAGGAACACCAGUGGCGAAGGCGGGUUGCUGGACUGUAACUGACGUUGAGGCUCGAAAGCGUAGGGAGCAAACAGGAUUAGAUACCCUGGUAGUC